rnacentral:rRNA from 1 species
GAGUUUGAUCCUGGCUCAGAACGAAMGCUGGCGGCGUGCUUAACACAUGCAAGUCGAACGUGAUCCGGAGCUUGCUCCGGURAAAGUGGCGCACGGGUGAGUAACGCGUGGAUAAUCUGCCCUGGUAUCUGGGAUAACAUCUCGAAAGGGGUGCUAAUACCGGAUAAGCCUACGGACUCUUCGGAGUCUGCAGGAAAAGGUGGCCUCUAUUUAUAAGCUACCGUAUCAGGAUGAGUCCGCGUACCAUUAGCUAGUUGGUGGGGUAAUGGCGCACCAAGGCUACGAUGGUUAGCUGGUCUGAGAGGAUGAUCAGCCACACUGGAACUGAGACACGGUCCAGACUCCUACGGGAGGCAGCAGUGGGGAAUUUUGCGCAAUGGGGGAAACCCUGACGCAGCAACGCCGCGUGAGUGAUGAAGGCUUUCGGGUCGUAAAGCUCUGUCAGAGGGGAAGAAAUGAGUCUGGCUAAUAUCCAGAUUUCUUGACGGUACCCUCAAAGGAAGCUCCGGCUAACUCCGUGCCAGCAGCCGCGGUAAUACAAGGGYGAASGGK